CCGGAUACGUUCCCCCACGCCCCAUCCCCUCCCUGCAUCUCCGCCGCCGCCGCCGCCCCCCAAUAUCCACCGCACGAGGGCUCGCCCACCCGCGCCGGCGACGCGCCUCCACCAUCCGCUCAUCCCAUCCUGGCUCCUCCGGCGUUGGACAUCGGCCGCGUCUACUCCACCGCUCCCUGCCCGCCCCCAAGAAGCCCCGCAGCUCUGCGUCCGCCGCCGCGGGCGGCAAGCCUCCCGUGAUCGUCUACUACCGCUGUCGCGCCCGCUCAAGCACGAGCUGCUCAGCCUGGGGUCUGCCCCGCCUGCAUUGGGCGCGGAUACAGACGGGGAGGAGUUGCUGGGGCGACGGCAGCCGAGGCGCAGAGGGGGAGUGCAGAAGGAGAGCACUUCGGCGCCCCGGAGGCGACGGCGCCGCAGCAGCCAGCUGGAGGCGGCCUCUCCAUCUGAGAGGAGAUGGGUAGAGUAAGUUGGAUCUGUGCUUGCUUCGCAAUGAAAUUCUCCUCACGGCUUCAGCAACAAGGAACGGCCAACUAGAAUACUUGUUGUCCGUGUAAUUUUGACGCUGGCUUUGUCGCAAGUUGGAAAUUCAGGGUGCCGAUCCGCAGGCGUUUGUCGGUUUAGUGUGCAAGGUUUUCUGGCCCCAAGAUGAUGAUUGAUACAAGAGUUCCAUCACAGCCUACACGGAACUAACCAAGAACUCUGUGGAGUAUGAAGACCUUACCCUAGCUAAUGAAAGGAUACAAUUUUCCAUUUCAUCUGAGGAAAUGAAGUGCCUGAACCUGAAAUUUGGAACAUCUAAACUGGAUAAGAAGGGAUACGAUGAGCUACUUGCACUUGCUGUCAGCUUUCAUGACUACCAAGGUCUUGAUCCAGAUGAUCUAGUGUGGGCUAAAAUAACAGAUUCUCUGAACACAUACUCCACAACACAAUGACGAGGAGCCUCCAGAGUACAUCAUCCCUGGUACCCGUGGUAUGGGCUAUGGUCUAUGGAGGCGUAUUGUUCGGUUAAGUUGAGUGUGGGUAGUAGUGGUCUUGUAUGCACUCUUGCGUGCUCCAUAAUCUUCCCCCAUGGACAUCCUCUGAUCUGAAAUAUUUAUCUUACCAAUUUGAUGUUGGUUCACAUGCAGGUUCAGGUCAAAGAGUAGCGCCAUGCAUGAGGACUGUUGGUGAUCUUUUUAUUGCGACAUAACGCUUUCGAGUUACAUGAGAUAUGGUCAUUCUCUAAAGGUAGAUCUAUUACAUAUUGAUUGAAAAUAGGAUAGUUGGGCUCUUGUAUUAUUUUAUUUUUCAGUGCAAAGUUAUUGUACAGGAUAAGUAGGAAAUUUUGGAGAGUCUUGCUUGCUAACUUGUUUACUUUUUCUCCUAUAUAGGAGUCGGGUAGAGGGCUCACACAAUGUUUCCAUUAGUAUGCUUGAUGCUUUUAUCGUGUUGUCUUGCUGACCUUAUCACAUCAAUCAAUACUAGAAAAAUCUGAAUGCAGUGAAGAGUAAGUAUUUAUUGAAGAAAUCUUAUAGCAGGACUUAUAAAUUAUUUCCAAAUUAAUCGUCCUUUUGCCAAACUGAUGGUUGAUAUGUUCAUGAUUUUAAAGUUUAGAGACUGGUACCUGGACUCGUUCCACGAUAUCCGGUAUUUUCCAGAAGUGGGGAACCGGGUUGACGAGCUUGCUUUCACGCAGAUGAGUAAGAUGAUCGAAGUGUGGCACAGUAAUGUGGUUCCGACUAUGCUUUUGGAGUGCAACAGCUGAAAAAUUAACAUCUCAGCUCAAGGAAGCUUCCCCCAGGAUUACAUGUCAAGGAUUGGUAUUCAGUUAUUCACAUGCUGGUAUGUUUGUGAACAUGGCCAUCAUAAUGUGGAACAAUUGUUAAAAGAGAUCUUGAUCGCUUUUCGUUGUUUCUCCUGCACGAUGCAUACAUACGUAUACAAGUUGCAAUUAAUUGGUGAGAUACCUGAAAUGCAAAUACUCCCUCCGUUCCAAAAUAGAUGACUCAAUUUUGUACUAACUUUGUACUAAAGACAGUACAAAGUUGAGUCAUCUAUUUUGGAACGGAGGGAGUAUAUAUCAAGGAAAAGGCUUCUUGUACUGUCCCUCGCUGGUGUUGAGAGAAAUUAUGUCAAUGUCGGCGAGUUCGAAGGGCACCGUCACUGCUCCACGACUGCCUGCUUGGGUACUUAUCCCCUGGAGCCUGGACAUGAUGCCAGGGCUGCAGUCGAUCACGUCGUCAAACAGGCCGAUGGCAAGGUCGGCCGACCUGCUGUCAACAUCGCGAAGUACUAGCAGGAUGAGCUCAUGGAGCUGCGCCAGAAGCUCCUGCUGCCGGCUUCCUCAAACCCAGAUUUCCUUCUUAUUUUUCCCAUGUUCGUUUUCAGUUCGGAGCUGCCUCUUGGAGAGUAGCAGAUUGCUGAAAUGAGGACCAAGGAACAUUUAUUCAUAAGUUGAUGAAAUUAUAACCCAGAUUUCCUUCUUAUAUGUUUUCAUUCUUCAUGUUUCUUUCUGCAUUUAUUCAUAAGUUGAUGAAAGCUUUUUGUAUUGUUGCAGCCUGGUCAUAACUAGAUUAUGUAAUGGCCAGUCCUGAUUGAAGCAAUUCUCUUGCAAGUGUGUUGAAUAAAUAACUCUUCUUUUGUAGAAAUGCAAAUAUUUUUGUUUAAUGUCUUA